UCGCUUAGUCCUAAUUUCCUUACCAUAGCCAUUUCUUGUCUUCUUCCCUCUGUUUCCUCAGAGAUAUGUCACUCUAUUUUGGUGAAAGUUUCCUUCCCUUUGUAUACACAUAAAAUGUUUUGCCUUCUAUAUCAUUAAUUAAUGUAUCUUCAAUGAUUCAUUCAGCAAAUAAAGCCAAAAUGAGUUUUCAGAAAAUCUGAUUUAGAAUCAAACACCAAAGGAUUUGAUUUGUUUUUUCCAACGGCUCUUCUCAAUUACAGGUCUAUUUUUCAAUGGUUGUUUUGAUCAAGUUCAAAAUCAAAAUCAAGUUUUCCCGCCAAAAAACCCUAAUCUAAAUCUAUAAAUAUUAGUCAUUGUAGCCAUUUUUGGGGAGAAUUGAGAGCCACCGCCUAUAUUCCCCAUUGUAGGGGUUCAGCCGCUGCCUUCACCAUUCGAAACCAAACUCUUAGCCGCCCCUUUCGCCCCAAAAUUUGAGAGUUUCAGCCGCCCCCUUUACUAGAGAAAUACCUCUGUCCAUCACUGCAUAUGAUUCUCAAACUUACUGCUUUUCGCCCUUUACUCCUUUAAAACACUCUUUAAAAUCCUAGCUUUUCGUUUGAUAUUUCUCGCCUCUAUUGGUUAGUUUUUUAGUCAAAGUAGAGGUGUUUUGGUAUUUUUCCGGAAUCGUUCGAAGUAGUUAAUUCUAGGUCGGAGUCCAAUAAAUCCAAAACCCUCGCCCAGUUCACCACCCUGCAAAAGGUCCGUAUCUUUCCUUUUUAUGGAAUUUAUAGAAUGUUCAUGUUUUAGUAUGUAUUUGGCAAUGAGCUCUCAAUGUUCUGAAUAUUUUAUCUUUUAUCUGGGGUGCUUUUUGUUGAUUAUUUGACAUUAUUCUGUUUCAAGUCGUCAUUUUGUGUUCUUUGAUUCAUGGGAAAUCAUGGGUUAGAAAACUUUAUUUGCUAUAUGAGUAUUAGAAACAUGUACUAGGACUCUCUCUCUCUCUUUAUUAGAAAGUAUAUAUACUAGCUUGUUCAAAUCGUCGCUAGGUUGGAACCCUUGUUGAAUCUCUGUGCGCAUAACAUGUUAAGACUUCUAUUGAUUACUUAAAUAGACAAUAUAAAUUUAUAUGCUAAAUUUACUCCAUAAUUUCAAUAGCAUGCUGUUCAAAAUAUAGGAUACAGCUCUUAGCCUACUGUCAACCUGACUUAAUGACAUGAAAUAAGAUUAGUACUUUGGUACAUAGUAUUUAAUUUUUCUUUUCAUAAUAUGAAAGAAAGUACUUAUAAGAAUAUGUAUCUGCUAGUAGAAUCCAAGUGCUAUGUCUGAGGUUAGUAUGAUAUAUAAAGAAAAUAUCUUCUUGUACAAGUAUGUGAUUUUCUGAUUCUGUUAUUUCAUCUCUCCUAGUUAUUAAAAACCAGAACUUAUUUUUAUGGAUCAUUAAAAUUAAAACGAAACCUAGAAAAGGGCGUAAAUAAGUUUAUGUCACCUGUGAUUCAUCAAUUUGCGGGGUACAUGAAAUUGUGCAAUUUUCUUUACAAAGACAUGUUAGGUAGUAUUUUUAGGAUUCUUUCUUUGUAGCUAAAGUUUGGCAGAAUAUUAUGUAUGAAUUUAAAAGGUAUUUGAUGUUGUUUAGGAAGUAUCAAUUUAGAUUUAGUUCUUUCUUUUUGCUUCUCAUCUAAAAUACAUGAUAUUAGAACAUAUCUAUAUUCUGAAACACUAUUUAUUAAACAUGUUCAUUUGUACGUAUAAACAAGGCUUGCUGAAAGUAUAGAGUCAUUUGUCCUGUUGUGAGCCCUUAUGAUUCAAUGCAAGUUGAUAUUUUUGAUUCAUGUCUGUUCUUCCUCAUUUUUAUACUUAUCCUAUAUUUCCUUUUUCCAAUUGAUGCUUUUUUCUCUUUUGCAUAUGCAUUUGGAGCAAAAUAUGGAAUCUUAAUACAAGACUCACCAACACACCCCGAGUAUGACGUCAUAUCUCAUAUUUUUAUAGAUGCACCGGAUAGCAAAAAAACAAGCGGAACGCUUGGGAUGCCUAUGACGUCUUUCUUUUCAUUAUUAUUCUUGCUAUUUAACUCCACUUGUGUGAUUUGACUUCAUUUUUAUUUUGAGAGUAUGUGUUAAAAUUCAUACUAGCAUGAUUGUAUUUAGUUAUCCUUGGUACUAUUUUAAUCACAUAAGAUAUAGGCUUCAGAUGCAAGAAUUUGAAAUUUGUUUUCUUUAAAAUAAUGCUUUCAAAAACGUUUCAUUAAAAUCUUUUCUAAUGGAGUUGAAUAAGCACAAGAUGUUUAAGACUACUUGAGUAUUUUUCUAAAAGUACACAUGAAGGCGUUGACAUUUCUUUUAAAUUGCCCUUUUUCAAAUUAGUUUUUAACUGUUUCAUAUUAAUUAUUUUGUAUAGUUCUCACAUUUUUUUAAGCCAUUAAUUAAUUAAGUUUGGCCGGUUAAUCGUAUUUAUCGAAGCAUAUAUGAUGCUUUCACAAUCUUUCCUAUAGGAUUAACUAGAACCCUUAUCUAGAUUUUUUAAGGCUAAGUAGCCCAUAAACAAAGUUAAAUUUUAAGCAUUACUUAGUCAAUAGGUGUCUUAAUUCAUGUUUAAAAUAAUUAGGUGGUGACUCUCUUUAACUAAUUGAACCUUCAGAAUUAUCAAUAUAUUAUACUUUAGUUUGACCUAUGUUAAAAUGGGGUAUAACAGAGCUGAAUGUUGGCCAAUCAAGAUCGCUCAUGUCUAGAAGAUAAAGGUAGAAAAGAUGAGGAUAUUGAGAUGGAUGUGUGGGCACACUAUGUUAGAUAGGAUUAGAAAUGAGGUUAUUCGCAACAAGGUGGGUGUGGCCCCUAUUGAGGACAAGAUGCGGGAAUUGCGGCUUAGGUGGUUUGGUCAUGUGAGGAGGAGGAGUACAGACGCCACAGUUAGAGGGUGUGAGAGGUUAACAUUGGAGGGCCUACGAGAGGUAGAGGUAGGUCAAAGAAGAGGUGGGGAGAGGCGAUUAGGCAAGCCAUGACGCAGCUUCAACUAACCGAGGACAUGGCCCUUGAUAGGAAGGUACGGAGGUCGAGGGUUAGGGUUGUAGAGUAUAUAGUCUAGAGUAUUCAUAAUAGUAGUAUUUUGGCAUGCAGUCGCACUUUAUGUUGGUAGUUGGUAUUUAUGACUAACCGUUAUUCUCUUUCAUUAUUGAUCAUCUUACUAUCUUGUUGUUUUCAUUCUACUUUUAUAUGGCUUUUUGGUAUUGUCGCUUCGUGUCUAUAUUUUCAUUAAUGUGGUGCUUAUGCUUUCCUGAAACGAAGGUCUGUUGGAAACAACCUAUCUAUUCUCAUAAGGCAGAAGUAAGGUAUGCAUAUACAUUACUCUCUCCAGAUUCUACUGUACGGGAUAAUACUGAGCAUGCUAUUGUUAUUGUUGUUAUUGGUGUUGUUCAAGGAAGAGCUAAGUAGAAAAAAUGCUGCUGUAAUCGGAGAAUUGAAUUUUGGUUGAAUUUUAUGUUGUUAAGUGGUCUUAAAUCUCACAAGAUCAAUUCAAUUUUUCUUCGAUACAUAUGCUAGUUUAAAUUUAUUCAUUCUGCCACACC
rnacentral:lncRNA from 1 species